AUCCUAAAUAUCAUUCCACGGAGAUGAAAAUCCAACUCUUAUGUUGGCUUCUUCUUGUCCAAAUCUUUCAACUCACUUGGUGUUCUAAUGAAAAAAUAUUGGAGAAUAAUGACCACCAAAUGGAUCAACUUCAAGCAGAAAUGAAAAACAAUGAACAUGUUAAUAAAAUGAAAGUUGAAAGCGUGGAUGAACGUGAACUCGCCACAAAGGAAGAUGCCAACAAAAGCAAAGAUGGUGGUGUUAGUACUAUACAUGUUGUUAUUCAACGGCGUCCACGUAAAAAUAGUGCCACAAGCAUCCACAUAAUGCAUAACCACUCUGUCGUCAUGUACUUUUAUUUUCUUCCAUUUUGGUUAGUAUCACUUUUUAUUCACAAGUUGUUCUAAUUUUAAACUUUAUAAAUAAAUAGAUAAAUAUAUAGUAUUUAUUACAAUAUCGUAAUAAGAUUUCUGCCAUCCAAACAAUA